GCCCGCGUGGCGGAAUUGGUAGACGCUGCGGACUUAAAAUCCGUUGACCGCAAGGUCGUGCCGGUUCAAGUCCGGCCGCGGGUACCA
rnacentral:tRNA from 1 species